rnacentral:lncRNA from 1 species
CCCCAAAGCAAAUGAUUUGUAACAACUCUGUUUGAAUAAACUUGUCUUUGUUGCCACAGAACAAUACUUAAACUAUAGAUUGGUUUAAGAUUCAGGCAAUGGACAUGGAGAUUUAUACAGCUAUCCAACUACUAAAGAUUCCUGACGGAUCAAAUCAGUAACCAUAAAGCAACUAUACAGACCUUGAAAAGCAGCAGCCUGCAUGUUGCCUGAUAGCCAAAAAGGGUUAGAAGACUUCAGCUCCUGAUUUUCUGUGGGUCGAAUGAGCGAUUUUGCAUUCUGGUUUCGAAAAAGGCUGAGCGUGGUGAGACUUUGAAGAUAGAAAAUGUCCAGCUGAGGUUUACAGUUUACAGCCUGAUUGAAAACCUGCACUCACCUGG